rnacentral:rRNA from 1 species
GACGAACGCUGGCGGCGUGCUUAACACAUGCAAGUCGAACGGAAAGACCCUGCUUUUGUGGGGUGCUCGAGUGGCGAACGGGUGAGUAACACGUGAGUAACCUGCCCUUGACUUUGGGAUAACUUCAGGAAACUGGGGCUAAUACCGGAUAGGAGCUCCUGCUGCAUGGUGGGGGUUGGAAAGUUUCGGCGGUUGGGGAUGGACUCGCGGCUUAUCAGCUUGUUGGUGGGGUAGUGGCUUACCAAGGCUUUGACGGGUAGCCGGCCUGAGAGGGUGACCGGCCACAUUGGGACUGAGAUACGGCCCAGAGUCCUACGGUAGGCAGCAGUGGGGAAUAUUGCACAAUGGGCGGAAGCCUGAUGCAGCAACGCCGCGUGCGGGAUGACGGCCUUCGGGUGGUAAACCGCUUUCGCCUGUGACGAAGCGUGAGUGACGGUAAUGGGUAAAGAAGCACCGGCUAACUACGUG